GCAUUAAUGGGGUAGUGGUAACCUGGGUCGUUGCCAUAAAUGGAACUGCUUCUGUCAUCUUCGACCCGCCGGGGGUUCGAUUCCCUCUUAAUGCA